GUCCGGCGCUCUGUUUAGUGGGUGCAUGUAAGUGGUGACAACUGGUGAUCUUGGUGCGGUACAAAUAUAAAAUUCGGCACAUCUCCAAAACAUAGAUUCGAUCUAUUUUCUUGAAGAUUCUUCAAUUACUAUGAAAGAGAAGCUGAGAAGCAUCCUCAUACCAUACUAAACCACCAUUCUGUUCCAAAGUUGGUAUAACAAAUGUUUUGUGUAGUCUUGCUCCUCUAGGACGUCUCACAUAAGCUUAAUAGAAAGGGCAAUGGAAAGGUGACAGGAGCACGUGGUGAAGGGGUGCGCAUGCGCAUUGUACUACACGUGCUUUACGUCAGAACUUGAGGACUGGUUUUUGGAGGAAUUCCGACUUAGUGAUGUUGGUCCAUAAACAAAUUUCUUUAUGGAGAGAUCGUCAUUUGGGAGAUACCUGGAGGUUCCUGGAAAUGUGGUGACUCAUAAUAUAUAUACUUUUUAAUUAUUGUAUAUAUGUCGAAAGUAUUAGAGGGUCCAAUUAUGAGUUUCGUUAGUUAUAAUACUUGUUACGUUUUUAGAUAACACCGAUUAUCUGUUACAUUGAUAAAUGUUUUUUUAAUCAUGCACUAAUAAUAUUUCAAAGUAUUAUUUUUUCCUUCAAUUUUAAGUAUCUUAAAAAUGAGGACAACAUUACAUUAUUCAAUUAAAAUAUAUUGAUGUUAAAACUUAUAAUUGGUUCAAGUG